rnacentral:pre_miRNA from 1 species
AUUCUACUCCCUCCAUUGCACAAUACAUGCCUUCUAUUUGUCAAAAUAUAUAUGUAUCUAGACAUGUUUUAGUAUAUAGGUACAUNUAUCUAGACAUGUUUUAGUAUAUAGGUACAUCCAUUUUUGGACAAAUGGAAGUCAAGUAUUUUGGAACGGAGGGAGUACACA